UAGGCACAUGUGCAAAUUUAAUCGUUUUACUGGAAGUACUUUCAUGAUGGCGAGUUCGGCUGACCUGAUAAAUGGAGUGAAAAUGAUUUGAAAUUGCGCACCAUGGGAUAUUUUACGAAUAUGUGAACCUAAAGGCAAAGCAACAGAAAAUUAAAUUUAGAACGCCCUGACACCG